rnacentral:rRNA from 1 species
GACGAACGCUGGCGGCGUGCUUAACACAUGCAAGUCGAACGGAAAGGCCCUGCUUUUGUGGGGUGCUCGAGUGGCGAACGGGUGAGUAACACGUGAGUAACCUGCCCUUGACUUUGGGAUAACUUCAGGAAACUGGGGCUAAUACCGGAUAGGAGCUCCUGCUGCAUGGUGGGGGUUGGAAAGUUUCGGCGGUUGGGGAUGGACUCGCGGCUUAUCAGCUUGUUGGUGGGGUAGUGGCUUACCAAGGCUUUGACGGGUAGCCGGCCUGAGAGGGUGACCGGCCACAUUGGGACUGAGAUACGGCCCAGACUCGUACGGGAGGAAGCAGUGGGGAAUAUUGCACAAUGGGCGGAAGCCUGAUGCAGCAACGCCGCGUGCGGGAUGACGGCCUUCGGGUUGUAAACCGCUUUCGCCUGUGACGAAGCGUGAGUGACGGUAAUGGGUAAAGAAGCACAGGCUAACUACGUG